AAAGGCUUGGAUCACUCAUGUAACAGAUCCAUGUAGAGACAAAGAAGGACAAACCAGAGGAAACAAUGGCACAGAAAAAGGCUCUGCUGUAUUGUAUAUGGCAAGAUUGUGGACAAUGGGGCUGAUUGCCAGAGGAUGGAUAUAGAUAUCUCCCCUUCACUGAACUUGUAGUCAAUUCAUCUCAGGGUGUCAUAAGCCUCCAAAACAGCUGGUAAAACUCCAUGUUAAGAGACCGUGAACUGCUGCUUCCAGACACUGGGGAGCAUUUGGGAUACGAUUUCACCCAUCUGCUGCAAUUGUAGUGGAACAUUUAGUAUGGAGACUCUUGUGGCCUUUGUGAUUCCCAAUAAAUCCAGAUGAAUUAG